AACGAACGCUGGCGGCAUGCCUAACACAUGCAAGUCGAACGAUGCCUUCGGGCAUAGUGGCGCACGGGUGCGUAACGCGUGGGAAUCUGCCUUUCGGUUCGGAAUAACUCAGGGAAACUUGAGCUAAUACCGGAUAACGUCGCAAGACCAAAGAUUUAUCACCGAAAGAUGAGCCCGCGUAGGAUUAGCUAGUUGGUGAGGUAAAGGCUCACCAAGGCGACGAUCCUUAGCUGGUCUGAGAGGAUGAUCAGCCACACUGGGGCUGAGACACGGCCCAGACUCCUACGGGAGGCAGCAGUGGGGAAUAUUGGACAAUGGGCGAAAGCCUGAUCCAGCAAUGCCGCGUGAGUGAUGAAGGCCCUAGGGUUGUAAAGCUCUUUUACCCGGGAAGAUAAUGACGGUACCGGGAGAAUAAGCCCCGGCUAACUCCGUG
rnacentral:rRNA from 1 species